UUUUUUUUUUUUUUGGUUGGUUUCAUUUAGUUUUGGGGUUUGUUUUUUGGUUUUUGGGUGGGGUUUUUUUGUGUUUGGUUUUGGUUUUGUUUUAGGUCUUUUUCAAGUCUUUACCCUUUACCACAGGCUUCCCAUCCCCUACCACCCAUACUCUCUCUUUCCUCUGCCUAGUUUCAGAGUAAGGAAUCCACACAUGAUGUUUUCUCUCCAGGAUAUGGUGAACUGGCUGGCAGGUUGUCUGAUGAGAAGGAAUCUGCCCCGGGACACCGUGGGAUCCUCUGCCUAUUGUUUGUCAUGGAAAAGGGAAGAUACCUGCAUUCAGCCACUACAGAAACCAGGAAUGCCAGCUCAAAAUCUGGAACAUGAUGCUGCUGUGGCUGAAGGAGGCUCAACCCCACGUCCUUGGCCACCCAGGUGCGUUCACAGGGGUCCCACAGCCGGGGGUCCCUGGGUGCCCCGAGCUGCCUGGCUGUGGGGUGUGUGGGGCACAGGGGGCCGGGAUGCGCUGCUGGAUGGUCUGGGUUGCUUUGCUGAAGCCUGGGCCAGGACCCCCGACAGCCUCCAGCUUAUCCCCACGUCCGCAGCGGGUUCUGCCCGCUCGCUGGACACGCUCAAAGUUCAGGGUGCUAUAAAUACCCGGGCACAGGGCUGCCAGCCCGGCGCGGGGGGUGGGGGCUGCUAAAUCCCAACGGGCUUUCGUUCCAAUUAACCCUGUGCGUGCACCAGUCCCCUCUGUGCGCUUUGAAAAAGAGGAACCCUUCCAUUCGAAAUGUGUCUAAAGCCAGAAGAGAGCAGCAAACUCCUUCUGUGGGCUGAUUCCUGCUGAGAAGAGCCCUGGGGUUGGUACCAGGACUGUAAGAGCACAGGGCCCUGGAGGAGGUUGCAGUGGAUGUGUGUUUUGUGGCCAGCAACACCCACAGCUGCCGUGUGACCCCCCCAGCUUGGGCAGGUCCUUGUGUUGGCAAUGCAGUGGUGUGGAUUCAGCAUGGCUUGGGUCCCCCCAUAAAGCAGAGGCUGCCUGUGCACCCCACAUUCCCCACAGAUCAUGGCUUCAUGCUACACAGCCCCACACUCUGCCCCCCACAGAACACGACCCCACCCAACAUGGCCCCACAGAGCACAGCCCCAAACCCAGCCCUGUAUGUCCCCAUACACCGCAGCCCUGUGCCCCCCAGCCUGCCCUGUGUCCCGGGCACCACCUGCAGGACUUCUCUGAAGCGCUAAAACGCAUCGAAGAACUUGAAGGGCAACAGAAACUCACUAAAUCAGUACAGGCUCCAACCCCACCUUGGGAACAAGCCCAAAACGUGCAGUCCCCAGCGGUGCCAGGUCACCCGAGGUAGAGCACAGCACGUCACCUGCAGCAGGGUGUGAAGCAGCUCCCUGGGGAGCCGCACCGAGGAGACGCCUGUGACCCCACCCACAGCUGUACACAGCCCUUUUGUGGUGCCAAACCUUAUCUUUUUAACCAUUUCCCUCCCACACCUUACCCCGCCGGGCUGAGGGGAGAGGCAGUCUGUGAGGAAGAGCCUCUUGCCCCUUUUUCCUACUCAAACCACGGGCGAUGGGAAACUCGGAGAGAACAGAGGACAAGCCACAGCGGCAGAGCCCCGCGGGCUGCGUGCUACCCCCGGCUCCUGCUGGGGCUGGACACAGCUCAGUGCACACAGGGCUCAGUGACAGCGGCCCAGGACUGGCCGAAGGUGAUCUCCAGCUCCAUGGGGCCAGGCUGCACAUCCCCAUGGCCUCGCAGGCAGGGGCUGACCCUGUCCCAUGCC
rnacentral:lncRNA from 1 species